UAAUGUUGCCUUGUGCAUGCUGCGUGUGUGUGCACCUGUGUGUGCAUGCAGCUGUGAGGAUGUUCAAAGAAGGAUGCGAACAGUGUGUGUGUGACUGUGGCUGGUCAUGUUUGUUUCUGUGUGACUGUUCAUUAUAUGGAUGUGCACAGCAGUCUCUGCCACUGCUACGCUGAUGCCCACUCUCCUACAGAGACAGGGUUUCCUGCACUGUUGUAUGCUGUGCUGCCUCCCAGAGCCUGUCUCACUGCCCCAGUCAAACAGAACUGGAGUGAACUGACCCACUCCACUGGCUCCUUCAGUCAGUCAGUUAUUCUGCAUCAGUCCUUGCAAUUUUGAAUCCUUGGGACGUCCAAGGUUAUGAUAAGGAUAGGUGUUAAGUUUAGGGUUUAAGGUAGGGACGUACCAAGGAUUUCAUAUAGCAGGGUUUCCCAAACUUGGUCCUGCCCACCGUACCGCACAAUUUCACACUGCCUUCUGACGCUGCCUGCGACCUGUUGUUUUGGAAAAAAACAGCCCACUGAUUUUUAGGGCCUGUCACUGAAUUGUCCUGCCCUGUAACCAUUUUGUUGUGUUUGCUUGGUUGGACAUUUAUGAUUUUAUGGACUAAAUGGACUUUGGCUCAGUGGCAGUAUUGUGUUUUAAAGGCUGUCAAACCAUUAAAUUAUAAAUGCUGCUUUUGAAGGGCCCUCCACAAGGAUAAUGCCAUUUCUGCUUAUGCAGUUAGCCACUGGGGACAUAUGUCAAUUCAACGUCUAUUCCACGUUGGUUCAAUGUAAUUUCAUUGAAAUUACGUGGGAACAACGUUGAUUCAACCAGGGUGUGCACAGUGGGUAUUUUCAGAAUGUAAACCCAUAAACCUGACCAAAUAGAUAACCUAUUUUUAUUUUACUUUCUUGGAAAAAAACAUUGUCAUUUACAAUAACAUUGUAACAGUUGCCAUGGAGAGGAGAGUUAGUAGAGCCAAUAGCCCUUAUGCAUAUUCCAUGAUCGAACACACUUUCUACCGGUGUGGCGAUUUCCGGUCAGUCUAGAUGUUAUCGACGAUAUAACGUUACUACCACUAUGUCGCCGUUUUUUUACUAGGUGUCUUCAGGACUUGCCUCAAAUUAGUAUUAAUGAUGUACAUCGAAUUGUUAAAUCAGCCUCCGAGGCUCCAGCUAGCAAGAAUGAAAAGGGGUUCCAGAUGUAUAUGGGAAGCUACAUAGACAACUAUGAAGAUGGUGUUAAAGCACUCCGUACCAGUGAUAGUGGUCCAAAGCCACUGCUCCUGUGUUGCAGGAAGUGCUAUGUGCAAUCAUCUGGUGGCCCUUCUUUACCAGACACUGCUCUCAACUAAACAUUCUUGCUGCACCACCAGUUCAAAGCAGCAGACACAGAACAGUGUUGGCACAAGCCAAGAACACUUAAGUUCUCUCCUCAAAGCGCUCAAUGGAUACAUGCCUGACAUGGACCUUCUCCGCAUCUCAGAAACGUAUGACAACUUUUCUCCACUUACUGCCACUCUUGUGACAACAAUGGAAAUGUCAGCUGACGUGCCCCUGGUUGAGUCAGCCUUUGGGCCACUGCAAGCCGGCAGUGUUCUGUCCUAUCAGCUUCCACAGCCAAAGACCUGUGAAAUUGUGAUGAUUGCCGAUGCCCCUUCUCCACCAAAACUUCCAUAGAUGGCUACAGGCUUCUGUCUUCCCAGUGUGCUUACGUCCUUAGCCAUCAGGAGCAGUUCCACCUCAAGGCAUUAGAGACAACCUAUGAGAUGUCACACAAAGUCGAGGUUGCUACAAGGGAGCAGAGCAGUAGCCCGGAAUGGCAUCAGCUCAGGAAAAUGAGAAUAACAUCCUCUCGUUUCCGAAAGGUUUGCCAUGUCCGGGGAGAGACCUCAGCUGACCACCUAGCUGAGCGGAUGUUCAAGGGAUCUGGUAUGCAGACCAUGGAGAUGAAGAGGGGGCUAGCCAUGGAGCCAGUGGCUGUACAGGAGUACUGCACACUGAAGAAUGUUAACUUCUUUACGUGUGGCUUCGUAGUGCCCAGAUGCUCCGUGGUUAGGAUCCUCUCCAGAUGGAAUCAUAUUUGAUCCCAGUGUGAGACUACACUUUGGACUCUUAGAGGUCAAGUGCCCAAAUGUACCAAGUUAUGUUGACUGCCCUUACCUGAAGAUACAGAAUGGAGAGCUCAAGUUGAAGAGAUCUCAUGCUUACUACUGGCAGGUGCAAGGUCAAUUCCUUCUCACAGGUUGUAGCUGGUGUGACUUUGUCAUCUGUGCACAGGGGGACAUCCUAGUUGAAAGGAUUUCUAAAGAUCUAGAGGUUUCAAAAACUAUAAGAGCCGAUUGAUCUCUUCUAUUUUUACCACUACUUGCAGAAGUGUCUAUCUUGCACCUGAAUGUAUCCCCUGCAUGGGUGCCAAGUUGAGUGGUUUUAUGAAAAAUAAGUUAUUGAUGUUCUUGUGAAGAAAUCUACAGUAGAAUAGAUUUGUUUAAAAAAAAAAAAAAAAUUCUGCAAAUGUUCAACAGUUCAGUUAAACAAUUACACAUCUCUAACAUUGUAUUCAAUCUUGCAUUCUGGCUAUUCUGUGUUUACUUGAUUUCUUUCCUCCACCCCUGUUUCUCAUUGCCUAAUUAAAGCCAAUACAAGCUCCACACAAACUGAUAUUCACUACAACACAAAUUAUUGAUACAUGUCGUAGAUUAACAAAUAAUUAUUUUGCUGCUAGCAAAUAAACACAUGUUCAUUUGCACUGGUUUGGCCCAUGCUCUGACUAAAGGUCCGUUUUGAUAGUUGACCAACAGGCACGCCACUGCAAGUAAUUGGUUGAUGCUGCCUGAGAUGGUUUGUGUCAAACAGCUUGUGCUCCUUUACUCUGCGGAUCAUUCUUUCAACAUGUACUCUCAGCCUGGCAAUGGAUUGGGUCUCUCUAACCUCAUGCGCUGGCAUCUGUGUGCGUCUUGACAGAAAGGCUAGCCGGUAGACCUUGCACGGAACAAUGUAAUCUACGAGAAAGCCCUUAUCCACCAUAGUGGCCAUGUCAGGGGUGAGUAAGGAAAUCAUUCCAGACUAUUUGAAGAUAUCCUUGUCACUCACAGAUCCAGCAUACAACGAUGACACAAAAGUGACAGCUCCAUGUGACAUUCCCAACAUGCCCUUAAAGGUACAGUGUGACUUGUAGGAAGAAAACACCUCACUCUGCAGUAGUAGUGAAGAUGGUGUCUGGCAGUGGAGUUCAGUGCAGUCGAUCACUACCUGGGUGUCUGGAUAGUCCUUGAACUCCGGUGGCAGGUGGGCUUUGAUGGUUUCCUUGGGGAUCCAUAUCCGUGCUGAUCCAAGCAGACAGUAGAGGAAGUUGGCCCAAGAGAUGAUAAUCCGGCUCACUGUCGAUUGGUGAAUGCUGAACCGAUGGGCUAAAUCCUUCUGCUUCAGACCCAGAGACAGAUGAGUCAUAAACAAGAAGAACUCGUUGAUUGAUGGCAGUCUGAACGUAAAGAAACCCAUUUUAGUACAAUAGUCCUUAUAUUCGGUUCAUAACAAAAAGUAAAUAAUGUUUAACAAUUACAGUAAGAUCAUAUAAUGUACUCUUAAGUAUUUAAUGAAGUUAUCCCUUUCCGGUUUUCUUCGAGUAACAAUUGUUUCAGAUGGAUUGGUGCUUGUGAUUCUUAUAAACUUGGUCUCUGCUGCCCGCUCAAUCAAGUGCCAGAAGGCCAUCAGGUGGGUGUAGCUUGCAAAUCUAAAGAUGGACCCAGAGUAUUUGAAUACGAAAAAAGCUCAUUACUGUUAUUACCUAUCUUCUCUAAGCCCUAGCACUAGACAUGACCUAGCUGCUAUUGUAGCCUGUUUUCUUGUUACUGCAAUUCGUACUGUAAUUCACAGCAGCGAAUUUGUUUUAAAUGUUCCGUUAUUUAAUCUGGAAAGUGGACUAAGAACCAAAUCUUAUUUGAAGCAACGACCUGGGAGCAUGUUUGGGGGUUAACUGAAAACUAAUGUAAAGACAAUAUACAUCCAAUGUGCCUACUUAGGCUAAUAUAUGCUAGCCUAAUUUUAAAUAACAAUGAACAUGUACUUAAAGUUAAGAUGGACUUUGGGAUAAUAUAAUUAAUAGUAAAUAAUAAGCAAUAGUAAUGCUGGAUAAUAAUAAAUCAUUACUGUACCUUGUGUAAAAACGUACAGUAUAUCCUCGUCAGAACCAGCAAAUCGCUGUACACCAAUGCCGCGUUGGGUGAUCAGUCUCUCCAGCUUGGCUCAAAGCUCCUCAAUUUCUCUUACGUGCUCAUGGUUUGCCAUUAGGGCCAUUUCCAGGGCUGCGGGUUCAGGGACUGCACAGUAAUCAUGGGUCUGGACCGGAUCAGAGACUGCACAGUCCAUAGGCAGCGCACCUUGUUCUUCAUCCCCCUCAGUCGGAGCAGGAGGUUUCAGUCUUUCCCAAACACCAGGUCUAUUUUGAAUGUGCCAGUUCCACGUGAAGACCGUAUGAACAACACCUCUUUUUUAGGUAUUGUCCCCCCCCCUCCCAUUUUCCCUCAACAAAGUCACUUUCGACGAAACGUGUACUACACACCUUUGUGUGUUUGGUGACAGUAAAGUUGUCACGACGUAGUGCCACCAACCACAUUUUUCUGAGCUCUACAUCGGGAAACUAUCGAAGCUCACAAUAACAUUACAUUUGGAAGACACUGAACAGAGGCACUGAACAAUGUUCAUUAGCACCUCCUUCGCCUAAGAUUGAGUGUUCUGAUUGAACCUUGAUUGUUAAUGAAUUUCAUCCUCAAAAUUGCAGAAUAUUACUUACAUUAACAACUCUAUUCUUUAGAAAGUGUCAUGGAAUCUUGAGUGACCACAGAGAGUCAACACCUCAUUUGGAUUACAUACUGAGAUGGGCACUCUUGUCAGUCUGUAAUUUGGUUGGUUUGCCAUGUAAUGCCUUAAACAGACAAACAGUUUUGCCAUCAGAUGUCACACUGUAAUGGAAAACUAAUGGUAAUUAUUUGUAUUAUUAACAGUAAAAUAAUUGCUGUAUUUCGAAUGGCACUGUAAUUCCACUCCACAGAAAACAGUACCGUACCCUAUUGUUGGAGUGCCAAAAACCUUUUGACCCCUAGUGGGUGCAUGGUAUUUUAAAUGAGCAUUUUUGUCAUUUCCUUUUGGUCUGUUUUGCCAUGUAGUUGCUGCUUGUUUGGAAGCCUUUGUAACGCCUCUAGAAGUGCAAAUAUUUAUUAAUAUGCUGCAAUGAUUGGAAGCACUUUACCUAGGAGCCCAACCUGGUCUCAGAGCAUUUCUUAUUAUUCUGUAUGUAAAUUCGAGACACUCCAUAUGUUACGUUUUUGUAUAGUUAUAUAACACAGAUGGCUACCAAAAGGCAAAAACGAAACGAGGGUGGUUGGUCGGGGUGGAAGGAUGGGCGUAUAAUGCAAACGUCAAGCAUGAUGAAAUUAUAAAGUUGUCCAUGAGAUAUGAACUCGCAACUUUCAGGUUGCUAGACUUUUGCGUUAUAUGUUUGAGCUAUUUUCAAAUCUCAUCACAGACAACUUUAUAAU